ensembl:snRNA U6 U6 spliceosomal RNA
AUGCUCCCUUCAGCAGCACAUAUACUAAAAUUGGGAUGAUAUAGAGAAGAUUAGCAUGUCCCCUGCACAAGAAUGGAUGCAAAUUUAUGAGGUGUUCCAUAUUUUU